CCUACGGGAGGCAGCAGUGGGGAAUUUUGGACAAUGGGCGAAAGCCUGAUCCAGCAAUGCCGCGUGAGUGAAGAAGGCCUUCGGGUUGUAAAGCUCUUUUGUCAGGGAAGAAACGGUGAGAGCUAAUAUCUCUUGCUAAUGACGGUACCUGAAGAAUAAGCACCGGCUAACUACGUGCCAGCAGCCGCGGUAAUACGUAGGGUGCAAGCGUUAAUCGGAAUUACUGGGCGUAAAGCGUGCGCAGGCGGUUUUGUAAGUCUGAUGUGAAAUCCCCGGGCUCAACCUGGGAAUUGCAUUGGAGACUGCAAGGCUAGAAUCUGGCAGAGGGGGGGUAGAAUUCCACGUGUAGCAGUGAAAUGCGUAGAUAUGUGGAGGAACACCGAUGGCGAAGGCAGCCCCCUGGGUCAAGAUUGACGCUCAUGCACGAAAGCGUGGGGAGCAAACAGGAUUAGAUACCCUGGUAGUCCACGCCCUAAACGAUGUCUACUAGUUGUCGGUCUUAAUUGACUUGGUAACGCAGCUAACGCGUGAGUAGACCGCCUGGGGAGUACGGUCGCAGAUUAAAACUCAAAGGAUUGACGG
rnacentral:rRNA from 1 species